rnacentral:tRNA from 1 species
GGGUUGUAUCCUCAGAGGUGGAGCAUUUGCCUACCAAGCACAUGGUGUGGGGUUCCAUUCCCAGCACAACCCA